AGAACUUAGCAGAGAUGCUUUGGUGCCUUCGGGAACUCUGAGACAGGUGCUGCAUGGCUGUCGUCAGCUCGUGUUGUGAAAUGUUGGGUUAAGUCCCGCAACGAGCGCAACCCUUAUCCUUUGUUGCCAGCGGGUUAUGCCGGGAACUCAAAGGAGACUGCCAGUGAUAAACUGGAGGAAGGUGGGGAUGACGUCAAGUCAUCAUGGCCCUUACGAGUAGGGCUACACACGUGCUACAAUGGCGCAUACAAAGAGAAGCGACCUCGCGAGAGCAAGCGGACCUCAUAAAGUGCGUCGUAGUCCGGAUUGGAGUCUGCAACUCGACUCCAUGAAGUCGGAAUCGCUAGUAAUCGUAGAUCAGAAUGCUACGGUGAAUACGUUCCCGGGCCUUGUACACACCGCCCGUCACACCAUGGGAGUGGGUUGCAAAAGAAGUAGGUAGCUUAACCUUCGGGAGGGCGCUUACCACUUUGUGAUUCAUGACUGGGGUGAAGUCGUAACAAGGUAGGCGUAGUGCU
rnacentral:rRNA from 1 species